ACUACUAACCAAAAUUAUGUAAAAGAUAGGAAAUUGCAGCAAAUUCCAUUCACCAUAUUUGGACACUACUAACCAAAAUACAACUUUACUGCAUAAUUUUGUAAGCCACAAAUAUAACAAAAACAGCCCAUGACCAUUAAAUAAACUUUUUUCAUUGCUUCAAUUUCAACUCCAAAUUUGAAACUUUCUCCUCCAAUGCAGCUACAUUAUUCAGAUUUCCAGCUUUACUACCCACCAUGUCAUCGACCAUC
rnacentral:lncRNA from 1 species